CAAAUAUCAUUCUGUUUCGAGACUCCAAUGCCUCGUCGCCGCUUCAGGACAGGAAUAUAUAAGGAGCGAUUUAGGAUCGCAUCAUCGCCCUUAGCUCGCAUUUCCUGCGUAGUUUGGAUUGGGGAGUCGGUUGCCGAUGCACCAAUUGAAGCGGCUCCUAGCGGCCGGAGGCGGCGGCAGAAGGAGCAGCGACGGCGGAUUCUGUUCUCCCGUCCUGCUGCUUCUCUUCCUCUUCUUUGCGGCACGUGGCAGCAUCCGCGCCGCCCCCAUCUCUCCCGAGUUCAAAUUGGAGAGAACAGUACCUGUUGACUGCCUUUGGAAUAUGUGCUCACUGAUUACUGGUUUUACUUCAUUUGCUUUUUCUUAGUCUGAGACAAGCAGUGGAUUCGACCAAGCAGUGGCUGGGCAUAUGGGAUGAAUACUUUUUACCUUAAUGAGUGGAAGAAGAAAGAUAUAACUCAUAUUUUUCACAAAUGGCAGAAAAUGAAUGAAGAGAGUGCUGUGGAAACUGGGGACACUUCCUCCAGGACUACUCACGUUUUAUAAACUGACACACGCUGGACAAAUCAUGGCAUGUUCUUGGCUUGGGUUAUAACCCUAGCAUUGAUCACUCAGAGAUACAAAAUGCUGCUGUAGUCCAUUAUAAUGGGAACAUGAAACCAUGGUUGGAGAUGGCAAUGUCCAAGUACAGAACAUAUUGGACCAAGUACAUCAUGUAUGAUCACCCUUAUAUUACGGGAUGCAAGCUAAGCGAAUAGGAAGAAUUAGAAAGUGUAGUCAGAAAACAGCUGCAGCUCUUUUGCUCGAGAAGUUAAUCUGGAGUAAGCUGGAGAUUGUGAAGGGUUCUUCGACCUCAUAUUGCCUUAUCUUAUGAAUUAUCUUUGAAAUCCAUGAUGUCAUUCUCACCCGUGUUGUAAACUUUCCCUUAUUGUUUGUGCCUCUGACGGAGGGAGAUUCUUCAGCUGUUCAAUUUAUCAGAAUAUGUAGCUGCAUUCUGACUCUGAUGGAGAGAGCUUCCUAGUGGUUCAAAUUCAUCAGAAUAUGUAGCUGCAUUCUGCUAGUAAGUAAAAAAAAAAACUUCUUUUAAUUUUCUAUC